rnacentral:rRNA from 1 species
AACGAACGCUGGCGGCAGGCCUAACACAUGCAAGUCGAGCGAAAACUUCGGUCCUAGCGGCGGACGGGUGAGUAACGCGUGGGAAUCUGCCCCAAAGUGAGGGAUAAGCACCAGAAAUGGUGUCUAAUACCGCAUAUGAUCUUCGGAUUAAAGCUUUCGAGCGCUUUGGGAGGAGCCCGCGUCGGAUUAGAUUGUUGGUGAGGUAAUGGCUCACCAAGUCGACGAUCCGUAGCUGGUCUGAGAGGAUGAUCAGCCAGACUGGAACUGAGACACGGUCCAGACUCCUACGGGAGGCAGCAGUAAGGAAUCUUCCACAAUGGGCGAAAGCCUGAUGGAGCAACGCCGCGUGCAGGAUGAAGGCCUUCGGGUUGUAAACUGCUUUUAUAAGUGAGGAAUAUGACGGUAACUUAUGAAUAAGGAUCGGCUAACUACGUGCCAGCAGCCGCAGUAACAC